CAAUGGGCAGUGACAGCUCCUCCCAGACUAAUGCCUUGAAUCUGUCUCCAAAGCCCCUUUUUCUCUGACUUCCUAGUGAGCCAGAGCAGCCCAGCCUAGGCUCUCCUGUUGCUUCUCCUAUCCUAGGCACUUCCUUGUUUCACUGACCCCAGUUUUAAUAAAUGUACCCUCAAAAAAAGGCAUUCCUGGU